CGCCGUGGCGGCGUCCUAAUACAUCAACUCACAACUUUAUUGACUUUGCUUGCAUCAUCAUUUACAUUUGAGUGUAGUCCGAACUGGUGAGUCCCACGUGGGAAACCUGCCCAGAGCGGGGGAUAACACCUGGAAACAGAUGCUAAUACCGCAUAACAACUUGGACCGCAUGGUCCGAGUUUGAAAGAUGGCUUCGGCUAUCACUUUUGUCAUGGUCCCGCGGCGUAUUAGCUAGAUGGUGGGGUAACGGCUCACCAUGGCAAUGAUACGUAGCCGACCUGAGAGGGUAAUCGGCCACAUUUGGGACUGAGACACGGCCCUCCAACUCUCGGGAGCAGCAGUAGGGAAUAUCUUCCACUAAUUGGUACUUAUAUAUGUCUGAUGGAGCAACGCC
rnacentral:rRNA from 2 species